rnacentral:rRNA from 1 species
AGCGAACGCUGGCGGCAGGCCUAACACAUGCAAGUCGAACGAACCUUUCGGGGUUAGUGGCGGACGGGUGAGUAACACGUGGGAACGUGCCUUUAGGUUCGGAAUAACUCAGGGAAACUUGUGCUAAUACCGAAUGUGCCCUUCGGGGGAAAGAUUAAUCGCCUUUAGAGCGGCCCGCGUCUGAUUAGCUAGUUGGUUGAGGUAAUGGCUCACCAAGGCGACGAUCAGUAGCUGGUCUGAGAGGAUGAUCAGCCACAUUGGGACUGAGACACGGCCCAAACUCCUACGGGAAGCAGCAGGGGGGAAUCUUGCGCAAUGGGCGAAAGCCUGACGCAGCCAUGCCGGGGGAAUGAUGAAGGUCUUAGGAUUGGAAAAUUCUUUUACCGGGGACGAUAAUGACGGUACCCGGAGAAGAAGCCCCGGCUAACUUCGUG